AUUACUUUUAAAUUUAAGCAAUUUAGUUUUUUUUUAUAAGCCCCAAUUCUAAUCAGUGAGCUUUAACAAGUUGUAACUUCUAAUUUCACCAUCUACUUGAUGUAAAGUUUCGUAUGCAAUUGUCAAUGUAAGUCUUCUAUAUGCUCAAGAAUUUUCAACUAACUCCAAUUUGCAGAUUGUGAAAAAACCUCUAAAAAUUAUAUUGAUAUCACUGAGCCACCGACUUAAAAAGUGAAGCUAAAAUCCUAGUAGAGAUUUCUCCUUCUCCAACUAUUAACUUUGAUUCAAAAUUGGUAUGCAGCUUGACCUUUAAGUCUUUUAAGACCAUGCCAAAUUUCACCUUGAUCCAAUUAGUAG
rnacentral:lncRNA from 1 species